AACGCACCUUGCGCCCCUUGGCAUUCCGAGGGGCACACCCGUUUGAGUGUCGUGAAAUCAUCAAAAACCCUUUUUGUUUGAAAAGGAUUUUUGGACUUGGAGGUUCCAUGCUCGCCUUUGCUUUUGAAGGUGAGCUCCUCUCAAAUAAAUUAGUGGGGUCCGCUUUGCUGAUCCUUAAUGUGAUAAGAUGUUUCUACAUUUUGGAUUUAGCACUGUCCCUUGGAAGCCUGCUCCUAACUGUCUUUUGGACAAUGAUGGUGCUCCGGUCAUCGCCAUCUACAUUGGCGGGAGGCUGGACCCACAAAGAUAACCUUGACCUCAAAUCGGGUGAGACUACCCGCUGAACUUAA
rnacentral:misc_RNA from 1 species